rnacentral:lncRNA from 1 species
GAGGCAGCCAUGACUGGCCACUUCAUGUGCUCCUGGAGAAGGCUUGCACCAGCCGUGUUCAGGAAAGUCAAGCAGCUGUUGACUCCUGAGUCUGGGUGAAUUUGUGUGAAGAGCAUAAGGCACUGUUUCUUAACCAACACGCUUCAUCUUGCAGUGCAGAUGGGAUGUGCUUCUCCAUAGGAGGCCCCAUGGCUUCCCCACCCCUCAGAGGAGCGCAGUGCGAAUGUGUGGAGGAUUUGCAGCUCCUGCAGGCUGCCCUUGGUCUACUUGGCGACGCCUGCCUUCCCUUAAUUAUACAGUCAUGAGCCGCCUGGAAUCACGGCAGCUCCCGAUGGAGCCUGGAUGCACAGGGCUGCGGCACAGGAGUGCGCGAGGGGCUGCAGAGCCGGAGGCUGCGGUGGGCACCAUGGAGGAAGCUGCCCUGGGCAGCAUGGGCAGGGUCUCAAGGCCCAGGUUUGAGUAACAGGUGUUGAGAGCUUACUUACUUUUCCUGAGACACAGUUUCCUCAUCUCGAGAGCACGGAAAAUCAUUCCAAUUUCAGAGGAUUGUUGUGAAAGUUAAAUGAAUUAAAGAGGUAAAGCCCAUACAUCCUUAGCUCAUGCUUGGCUCUCUGUCAAUGCCAGUUAGCGCUGCAUUUUCUCCCCUCUCCCUCCCUCCUUCUCUCUUUCUUUUCUUCUGUUCUCCAUUUCUGUUUUCUCUCCCACCCCACUCCCCAAAGCUCUGCAUUGAGAACCAGAUGCUGUCUGGUGGGUUAGGACCAGAGGAGGAAAAGCUGCCUGCGUGGGCUGCACCAUACCCUCUUCAUUCCAAUGACAUGAGGGGAGUCAUGACCCUCCCCAAUGACAUGACGGGAGGGAAAGGACAGAGGUAGACCGUCCUCCCCACCUCCUCCCAAUACAAAUGGAACUCCUGGAACUGGGAAAACAAAGAAUACCCCCAUAAAAUAAGACAGUACUUCUGCUGCAGUGUAAUAAAGGGGAAAGUAACCCUCAGUGUCAGGAAACUGCACCUCCCAGCUCAUAUUUGUGUGGAGGAAAGUUAAAUAUUAAAUUUGGACUCAGUUGAAUGUGGACACAAAGAAUGGUCACCAAGUCCCAGAACAGGUUGUGUGAGCCCCUUCAGGGGUUCAUCCGGCACUGUUUCGGAGAAAUCUCUAUUUCAAUUUAUUCCUAUACGUUAGUUAUUGAAAACAACAGACAAUCACAAAAGCAAGUUGCCCUUUUUUGUGUUCCUUGAGCCCAGUCACGAAGUGCCCUCAUGACUGGGCCUCAUGACAAACACCUGUAACAAGUAACAACAGAGCUAGGGGUCCCAGACCGCACUGAAGCUUCGUGAGACCCCUCCUCAUCUGUGCACGAAUGAGUGUCCGACUCUGAGCCCAGCCUGCUGCUUCCCAGUCUGGUGGUGAAUUCUCCGUAGUCUGAUGGAGGUUUGCUCUUGUUGCCCAGGCUGGAGUGCAAUGCACAAUCUCGGCUCACUGCAACCUCCGCCUCCCAGGCUCAAGCAAUUCUCAUGCCUCAGCCUCCUGAGUAGAUGGGACUACAGGGCAUGGACUGGAACUCCCAAUAUCCCUGACAUGGGGCUAAGUCAGCGUGGUCAUGAACAUGUGACAGGAGGCAGCAGAAGUUGCAGAGAAGAGUGAGGCACGUUUGAAAAAGGCUGAAAAAUGUUUCUGUCCAGGCAAGGGUGUGUGCUGAAUGACUCAAGGAUUUUUUGGAGAGUUGGAGUGUCUCACCAGAGGAGACACUGAAGGGCUUUGCAUCCCUCCUUGGACAUGUCUAAUACUUAGCACUCAGAAAGCAUCCAGUAAAUAUUUGUGGAAAGAAAGGAGUGGAGAAAGGGAGAAAGGGGAAAGGGUGUGGGGGAGAGAGAGAAGAAAGACUGCUUCUUGCCCAGGGCCUGGCAUGGGGCGGAGGCAGAGCAGUGGGGUCCUCAGCUAUGUCCCACUGUGAGUGCACACUGAGUCCUGACCUUCAGAGGGUUCAGCCCAAGGGGUCCUGGCCUGUCUGAAAGGUGAGCCAGCUAAGUGGCCUGCCCUGACCACCGGGCUCACCCAUGACUACCUGGGUGGCUACAGCGAGUUCCUGACAAUGAGUACAGCACUCAGUUAUUGGGGCCCUUGCACCCACACGCUGUCCACUUCCUGGGGCGCUGCUGUGGACGUGCGAGUGCUUGCUCCCCAGCUCCACUAGUGACACUGGCGGCUCCUCGCUGGGGCCUUCCCUGCCUGCUCCGCUCCAUUGCCACUGCUGGGCUCCUCACGUCUCUCCUUGCUGCUUCCUGCACUGGGGUGAGGAGAGUGGGGCUGGUCCCCUUGAGACCGGAGAAGCUCCGGGCUUUUAAGGAAAACUGCCAGGGACGAAGAGAAGAUAUCAUUUCCCCACGUGGUCGGCUUCCAGGUUCAGAAGGAACGUCUGUCCUUGUGGAUUCUGCACCAGAUGACCCCAGAUGCUGCCUCAAUACUAGGUCCCUGUGGCUCUGGAGCCUUUGCUGGGUCUGGGCAGCGUCUCUUCCUUUCCAGUUCAUCCUUGGGUCUCUUCACCCUUGCCAGGGGCAGGCUUCCUGGUGAGAGGUCGACCUCCUGCAUGAAGGCUCUCAAGAGGCCAGUUCAAAGCCAAGCUCCGGGUCUGUGCCUGUGGGGCUGCUCCUCCAUCAGGAGAUGGUCACUUGCCUCCUGGUCUAUAUCUGUGGGAUUCUCCUCCAUCAGGACAUGGUCACUCCCCCCUCCUGGUCUAUAUCUGUGGGAUUCUCCUCCAUCAGGAGAUGGUCAGUCGCCUCCUGGUCUAUAUAUGUGGGAUUCUCCUCCAUCAGGAGAUGGUCACUCGCCUCCUGGUCUAUAUAUGUGGGAUUCUCCUCCAUCAGGAGAUGGUCACUCCCCUCCUGAUCUAUAUCCGUGGGAUUCUCCUCCAUCAGGAGAUGGUCAGUCCCCUCCUGGUCUAUAUCCGUGGGAUUCUCCUCCAUCAGGAGAUGGUCAGUCCCUCCUGGUCUAUAUCCGUGGGAUUCUCCUCCAUCAGGAGAUGGUCCAGUCCCCUCCUGGUCUAUAUCCGUGGGCUGCUCCUCCAUCAGGAGAUGGUCACUCGCCUCCUGGUCUAUAGCUGUGGGAUUCUUCUCCAUCAAGAGAUGGUCACUCCCCUCCUGGUCUAUCCCCGUGGGAUUCUCCUCCAUCAGGAGAUGGUCACUCGCCUCCUGGUCUAUAUCUGUGGGGCUGCUCCUCCAUCAGGAGAUGGUCACUCACCUCCUGGUCUAUAUCUGUGGGGCUGCUCCUCCAUCAGGAGAUGGUCACUCUCCCUCUCGGUUGCUCAGUCAAAAACAACCUCUAUGGAAAACUGUGUGGAAUUUUUUCUAAAGAAUUGAAACUAGAGCUAGCAUUUGAUCCAGUCAUCUCCCUACUGGGAAUACACCCAAAGAAAAAGAAAUCAUUAUAUCAG